GACGAACGCUGGCGGCGUGCCUAAUACAUGCAAGUAGAACGCUGAAGAGAGGAGCUUGCUCUUCUUGGAUGAGUUGCGAACGGGUGAGUAACGCGUAGGUAACCUGCCUUGUAGCGGGGGAUAACUAUUGGAAACGAUAGCUAAUACCGCAUAACAAUGGAUGACACAUGUCAUUUAUUUGAAAGGGGCAAUUGCUCCACUACAAGAUGGACCUGCGUUGUAUUAGCUAGUAGGUGAGGUAAUGGCUCACCUAGGCGACGAUACAUAGCCGACCUGAGAGGGUGAUCGGCCACACUGGGACGGAGACACGGCCCAGACUCCUACGGGAGGCAGCAGUAGGGAAUCUUCGGCAAUGGGGGCAACCCUGACCGAGCAACGCCGCGUGAGUGAAGAAGGGUUUCGGAUCGUAAAGCUCUGUUGUAAGUCAAGAACGGGUGUGAGAGUGGAAAGUUCACACUGUGACGGUAGCUUACCAGAAAGGGACGGCUAACUACGUG
rnacentral:rRNA from 1 species